AAGAAAGUAAGAAAGAGUACACAGGGGAUGCCUUGGCUCUCAGAGGCGAUGAAGGACGUGAUAAGCUGCGAUAAGCUCCGGGGAUUAGCAAAUAUGAAUUAAUCCGGAGAUUUCCGAAUGGGGAAACCUGGCUAGUUGAAGACUAGUCGCAUUACGAUGCGCAAACCUGCCGAACUGAAACAUCUAAGUAAGCAGAGGAAGAGAAAAUAAUAAUGAUUUCCUAAGUAGUGGCGAGCGAACGGGAAAGAGCCCAAACCAGUUAUGUUACGGCAUAGCUGGGGUUGUAGGACUACAAUAUGGCAUUAAUGAAAUGAAGUGGAACAGGAUGGGAAGCCUGGCAAAAUAGCGUGAGAGCCGCGUACACGUAAGUAACAUUAGUCUAGUAGUAUCCUGAGUACCGCGAGGUCGGAGACGCCUUGUGGGAAUCUGCCGGCACCAUCCGGUAAGGCUAAAUACUCCUGAGAGACCGAUAGUGAACCAGUACCGUGAGGGAAAGGUGAAAAGAACCCCGAACAGGGGAGUGAAAUAGAACCUGAAACUGUGUACUUACAAGCGGUCGGAGCGUCCAGGUGGCGUGACGGCGUGCCUUUUGCAUAAUGAGCCUACGAGUUACUCUUCUCUGGCAAGGUUAAGUGUUUAAGACACGCAGCCGAAGCGAAAGCGAGUCUGAAUAGGGCGUAUAGUCAGGGGAGGUAGACGCGAAACCUUGUGAUCUACCCAUGGACAGGUUGAAGGUGCGGUAACACGUACUGGAGGACCGAACCGAUAAACGUUGAAAAGUUUCCGGAUGAUCUGUGGGUAGGGGUGAAAGGCUAAUCAAACUGGGAAAUAGCUCGUACUCCCCGAAAUGUUUUUAGGAACAGCGUGGUGGUUAAGUUUAUUAGAGGUAGAGCUACUGAUUGGGUGCGGGGGAGUCAAAUCCUACCAAAUCCAGACAAACUCCGAAUGCUAAUAAAUAUACACUGCAGUGAGGCCCGGGGUGCUAAGGUCACGGGCCGAGAGGGAAAGAACCCAGACCAUCAGCUAAGGUCCCCAAGUUACUACUAAGUUGAACUAACGAGGUGCGAUUGCCUAGACAGCUAGGAUGUUGGCUUGGAAGCAGCCAUUCAUUUAAAGAGUGCGUAACAGCUCACUAGUCGAGCGAUCGUGCAUGGAUAAUAAACGGGCAUAAAGUAGUACACCGAAGCUAUGGGUAAUAUUAAAUAUUACGGUAGGGGAGCAUUCCAGCGGCAGCGAAGUUAUGACGUAAGUUGUGGUGGAGCUUCUGGAAAAGCAAAUGUAGGCAUAAGUAACGAUAAGGCAGGCGAGAAACCUGCCCACCGAAAGGAUAAGGUUUCCUGAUCAACGCUAAUCGGAUCAGGGUUAGUCGGGGCCUAAGGAGAACCCGAAGGGGAAAUUCGAUGGACAACUGGUUAAUAUUCCAGUACUUUUUAUAACUGCGAUGUGGGGACGGAGUAGUGACACUGCCGCGAUCUGACGGAAUAGAUCGUUAAAGACUGUAGGUAUUGGAGAGGUAGGCAAAUCCGCCACUCUAGCUAAAGGUCGAUAGUACCGCAAGCCUUCGGGUAAGUGGAUAGCGCAGGUAAUCAGACUUCCAAGAAAAACCGCUAAGCUUCAGGUUAUAAAAACCCGUACCGCAAACCGACACAGGUAUCCGGGAAGAGAAUUCUAAGGUGCUCGAGUGAAUCAUGGCUAAGGAACUCGGCAAAAUGGCCCUGUAACUUCGGGAGAAGGGGCGCUGACAGCAAUGUCAGCCGCAGUGAAAAGGCCCAGGCGACUGUUUAACAAAAACACAUGGCUUUGCAAAAUCGAAAGAUGAAGUAUAAGGCCUGACACCUGCCCGGUGCUGGAAGGUUAAGAGGGGAUGUUAUUCGCAAGGAGAAGCAUUGAAUCGAAGCCCCAGUAAACGGCGGCCGUAACUAUAACGGUCCUAAGGUAGCGAAAUUCCUUGUCGGGUAAGUUCCGACCUGCACGAAUGGUGUAACGAUCUGGGCGCUGUCUCAGCCAUGAGCUCGGUGAAAUUGUGGUCCCGGUGAAGACGCCGGGUACCCGCAACGGGACGGAAAGACCCCAUGCACCUUCACUACAAUUUAACAUUGACAUUGGAUACAGGAUGUGUAGGAUAGGUGGGAGACUAUGAAGUGGCAUCGCUAGGUGUUGUGGAGUCAACGUUGAAAUACCACCCUUUUUGUAUUCGGUGUCUAACCCCUGUAUGGGGGGACAUUGUUUGAUGGGUAGUUUGACUGGGGUGGUCGCCUCCAAAAAGGUAACGGAGGCUUUCAAAGGUAAGCUCAAUACGCUUGGUAACCGUAUGAGGAGUGCAAUAGCAUAAGCUUGCUUGACUGUGAGGCAGACAAGCCGAGCAGGGUCGAAAGACGGAUAUAGUGAUCCGGUGGUUCUGCAUGGAAGGGCCAUCGCUCAAAGGAUAAAAGGUACGCUGGGGAUAACAGGCUGAUCUCCCCCAAGAGCUCAUAUCGACGGGGAGGUUUGGCACCUCGAUGUCGGCUCGUCACAUCCUGGGGCUGGAGAAGGUCCCAAGGGUUCGGCUGUUCGCCGAUUAAAGUGGCACGCGAGCUGGGUUCAGAACGUCGCGAGACAGUUCGGUCCCUAUCUGUUGUGGGCGUAGGAAUUUUGAGUGGGGCUGACCUUAGUACGAGAGGACCGGGUUGGACUAACCUCUAGUGAAUCUGUUGUUCCGCCAGGGGCAUUGCAGAGUAGCUACGUUGGGAAUAGAUAAGCGCUGAAAGCAUCUAAGUGCGAAACUAGCCACGAGAUGAGAAUUCCAUAUAGGACCGUAGCAGACUACUACGUUGAUAGGUUAUAGAUGUAAAGCUGGUGACAGCAUAGUCGAGUAAUACUAAUCAUCCGAAGCUUUCAAGAG
rnacentral:rRNA from 1 species